rnacentral:rRNA from 1 species
CCUACGGGCGGCUGCAGUCGAGAAUAAUUCACAAUGGGGGAAACCCUGAUGGAGCGACGCCGCGUGGGGGAAUGAAGUUCUUCGGAUUGUAAACUCCUGUUAUGUGGGAGCAAAUUAAAAAGCUAGAACCACAAGGGGAAGAGACGGCUAACACUGUGCCAGCAGCAGCGGUCAAACAGAGGGCUCAAGCGUUGUUCGGAAUCACUGGGCGUAAGGCGUGCGUAGGCUGUUUCGUAAGUCGUGUGUGAAAGGCGCGGGCUCAACCCCCGGACGGCACAUGAUACUGCGAGACUAGAGUAUGGGAGAGGUAACCGGAAUGCGCGGUGUAGCAGUGAAAUGCGUAGAUAUCGAGAGGAACACUCAUUGCGAAGGCGGGUUCCUGGACACUAACUGACGCUGAGGCACGAAGGCCAGGGUAGCGAAAGGGAUUAGAUACCCCUGUAGUC